rnacentral:rRNA from 1 species
AAACCGUUAAAAGGGAAGCGAAUGAAACCAGCAAUUUGCCUUGCCGCAUUCAGUCGCCUGCGCUCGAUCACGUGCUUGUUCGCGAUUUUUUUAGACGMGAUUCGUMCAAUUGGCCGAGCGAAGGCGGCGCACUUCUGGUAGGUGAGUGUCAGCAUCAGAUGGUCACGGGUUAGAAAGUUGCGAUGAAGGUAGAUCUUUCGGGAUUGUUCAGCGUCGCAAACAAAUCACCCGAGGCUGCCUGUGGUCUGUCGCAAUGCGUGCCUCCGUGGGUUUGGCUGGUGUCCUGUCCUGUUGAUGCGGUUGCCGACUGCGGCGGACGGCUAUGCCAGUGCGUCCAAACCGCUGCCCGUCUACAGGUCGGGGUGCACACACCACGCGUUGACGAUGCUGACGAAAAUACGGUUCCAUCCGACCCGUCUUGAAACACGGACCAAGGAGUCUAACAUGUGCGCGAGUCUGUGGGUGAUCGAAACCCGGUGGCGAAAUGAAAGUGAAGGGAACUUUUUGGUUGCUGAGGUGAGAAGCCCGGCCGUCGUGGCCAAGCCGUAUCAUCGACCGACCUGUUCUAAUCUUAGAAAGGUUUGAGUAAGAGCGUAGCUGUUGGGACCCGAAAGAUGGUGAACUAUGCCUGAAUAGAGUGAAGCCAGCGGAAACACUCGG